GCUGCCCGCCGCGCUGCCGGUGUUUUGAGGCGUCGUGUGGCGGGCAGCACCGCCCCGCCUCGCCGGUCGGUCGCUCUGUCCGUCGGGUGAGGGCCCUGCUAGCGGCAGUGUCGGAGGUGAAGGCAGCCUAGAACGGGCUGCCGGGGGAAAGGAGCGCCUCCGGAGCGGGAAAGAGAGCAGUGCGGCGGCAGGGCCAGCUCCCGGAGGCGGUGGUACCCGUCCUGUGGGGACGGUCCCUAGGGGCCGGUGAGCCUGGCAGCCGCGGUGGGUUCCCCGUUACUGGUGUUACCAGUCGGGAUACAGCUAUUCAAAUAUGCAGAAAUGUACCCAUGAAGCAGGAGUGUUCCCAGACAACAAAGAAUGUGCUGAAGGAUAAUGAACUCGGCCUGGUAUCUGGAAAGGUUUUACUUUACGUGGGGGUAUUGGUUUUUUCUUUACUCACACUGUCUAGUAAGAGCUGUUUGGCCAUAUUCUCUUGUUUCACCCCCACGUAACUUGCUAUGGAGCCUGGAUCACUGGUCAAAUAUGUAUGUCCGUGGCAGAGCAUAGCUACUGAGUCUCCCCACUGGGACCUAGAUAAGAAUUUCAGUACUGCAGACACUUCUCUGCCCCUCUCUUUGUGGAGACAAUAAGUUUUGCAAAGUUGUGUUCUGGACCACUGUUCAGUCGUCAGUCCUAUGUUUUAAAAAAUAGCGCAAGGAAAUCAGCUAACGUGUACCAUUUUGGUUUUGCUCAUGUGUAUAUAAAAAAAUGAAUAUUGUGUAUUCAGACAUGGUAUAUCUUGUUCCUUCUGUAUUAUAAGACUUGAACAAUC